CAGACAACUCAAUUAUGAGAUUUAUUAUAUGACCAUGUCCCCUUAUCAUCUACAAAAUAAAAAAAAUGUGCUUUUGACUAGUGCCACACAUAUACAUGUACAAAAUAACACAUAACUAAACAUAUGAUUCAUUAUUACCAAAAAAAAAAAGCCAGCAAUUUUACAUAUAUAUAUGGUGCAUUUUCAACACAGUAAGCAAUUCCAAUAGUUGUGUAACCAUGAAAUUUUAUCUAUUUAAAGCAAAAAAUAUUAUGCAGUUACAAACAUUUUUUGAACAACAUGAUUGUAAUUCUUUUCUGAAUUAUAAUUUAUUGUCAGGUUUACACUCACUUGCGAUGUUUUCUUUUUUCUU
rnacentral:lncRNA from 1 species